ensembl:lncRNA
GCACGGUCCCUAGCCUGGGGUCAAUGCUGGCCGCUGCCACCCAUGUUUGAGUGUGUGCUGGUCCCCCUGGCACGCGCUGUGGGGAGGUGGGAUGGAGUUGGCCCUGCACUCCAAGUCUAAACCUCCUUGAAGACCUAGCAGAAUGGAAGGGAAGGGACAGUGCCUGAUAAGGUGAUCCUUUGUGCAGAGCUGGCAGUCACCUAAGUGCUAAGUGACCGGUGUCACGUGUCACAAAGGGACUCGCAAGCUUAUUCUAAGAGUCCCGUAUUGUGCUCAGAAUUGGAAAAGGAAUACAGAGACCUUUUCAUUGUGUAUACUUCCACCUACGGCAAAGGAUAGGUGUUUGUGAAAGCAGGCUUCUAAAAAUUUUUUAAAAAAAGUACUUAUCAUUCACCAGGAGUCUGCCAGCACCAGCAAAACCUAAGCCACCAACCACACUUCUCUUUGUGUGCCAAAUCCCGUUUAAUAAUUCAGUAGCCACUAUGCACCCGGCUGUGUUGCAAGCUUGAGAUGUGUUGGAGAAUAAAUCAUCUGCCCUGCUCUGGUGGCUAUGAUAUGCAGAGGGUUAAGGGUGGGCUGGAAGAAGGGAAGCCGCACACACCAAAGGCAGAUUGCUGGGAUGUUAGAAGAGAUCAGCGAUGAAGAAAAAGACAAAGGACAUGGACAGCUGGAGCCUGGAGCCCUAGUGUCUGACCCAGGUUAUAGAAUGAAACAGGGUAUGAUCCUCCUGCAGGAGAUGCUUGGAAAAAGGCGAAAGAUGAGAGGGAGCUGAGCAAAGAUUGGGGGGGGGGGGCAUAUGUUGUGGAGCUCUGGGAAAAGAAGGAAGUUCAAGCAGAUUUGAGCAGUGGGUUCCAUGAUUGGUGCAGCUGGAACCCCCACUGUAGAAGCAGAGAAGGAAACAGGCUAGAGAGAAGAGGCAGGGGACACAGAGCAGACUCAGAGCCCAAAAGUGGGAGAGGCACUUGGAAUCCCACAGAUUUUGAAGGGAGCAUUGAUAGUUCCUAAGACAGAGGUUCUCAGCAUGUGGUCAAGACCCCAUUGGAGUUUGCAUAUUAGAUAUCCUGCAUAUCAGAUCUUUACAUUGUGAUUGAUAAUAGUAGCAAAUUAGUUAUGGUGUGUCAAUGAAAUUAUUUUAUGGUUGGGGGGUCCCCACAACAUGAAGAACUGUAUUAAAGAGUCACAGCAUUAGGAAGGUUGAGAACCACCGUCUUAAGAGAUGUGAACAAAGGGAUGGUACCCCAUCCCUCCCUUUCUCAGCCUCAUUCACCCCAAGAGGGUUUACUUCACUAGACAAUGAGCUCCAGUGUGUUUAUCACUAGUUAAUUUUGUGGACCAAAAUUUCUGAAGCUUCAGAGGAAAAAGAACACAAGACUUCUCUACAAUGCUAUGUUCUAAAUACCUCUGUAAGUAUUUAGGCUUCAGUAACAAACCUGACUAAACUGUGUUCUAUUGGAACUCAUGUCCAAAGUCUUGUGUGUGUGUGUGUGUGUGUGUGUGUGUGUGUGUGUGUGUGUAGAGAGAGAGAGAGAGAGAGAGAGAGAGAGAGAGAGAGAGAGGUAUCACAGAAAUAGAGGGCCCAGGGUGAUGCCUAACUUUAGUCAUUUCUAGCAUUUGCUACCUGUUUGGCAGGUUUGACCUACCACCCAGGGGCCCUGUGGACUGGAGUGACUACUCCUUUCUAUGCCCUAUUCUCAGGCUACUGUUGUCAGCAGGGAACCAGCUAGCUAAUAAAGUUGUUUUGCCCUUGACUUGACCAAGCAGUACUGGGUCUAGAAGUUCUGUCCAGAACUGACACCACAACACUCUUUCCCCUGAUAGAGAAUCGCAAGUAGAGAUGAAUGUCAUGAGCUCAUAAAAUGCAUGGAAAAAAAUUAAUGAUGGUGAUGUAGUUGUUUAUUUACUGAUCUGUGCUGAGAAGGGUUAUAUGACUUCGUGUAUUCUUCAUACUUUGCCCUGCAACCCCUGGAGAUAAAGGGAGAUUAUCUGAGGAAAGCAGCUGUCUCAGUUAGAACCUCCUAAAUUAGAGCCAGACAUGGUGGCCCACAUCUAUAAUCCCAGCACUUAGGAGGCAGAGACAGGUCAAUCUCUGUAAUUUCCAAGCAAGCCUUGUCUACUUAGCAAGUUCCAGGCUAGCCAAGGCUGUAGAGAGAAUUCCAAGUCAGCCAGGACUGCCUAGUGAGACUAUAUCUCAAGAAACAGGACUGGGUGGGUAAAGUAUUCACCACUCAAGCAUGAGAACCUGGGUCCCAGGGCUGGGGAGGCAGAGACUGGAGGAUCUCUGGAACUCUGGUAUGAUGCUCUAGAAGCUGUCUCUGUAGGAUACAAUGAAGCAGCUGGUCAGAACAAGAAGAAAAUAAACUCAAUUCCAAAGUCAAGAGAGAAGAGCUUUGGGCAUUCAUAAAGGCAAUGAUAGUG